rnacentral:rRNA from 1 species
AUUGAACGCUGGCGGCAGGCCUAACACAUGCAAGUCGAACGAGUGGCGGACGGGUGAGUAAUGUAUGGGCAACUGCCCGAUGGAGGGGGAUAACUACUGGAAACAGUAGAUAAUACCGCAUACCAUCGGAUGUGCCCAGAUGGGAUGAGCUAGUCGGUGGGGUAACGGCUCACCUAGGCGACGCUCCCUAGCUGGUCUGCGAGGAUGACCAGCCAAACGGGAACUGAGACACGGCCACGACUCCUCUGGGAGGCAGCAGUGGGGAAUAUUGCACAAUGGGCGCAAGGCUGAUGGACACAUGCCGCGUGUAUGAAGAAGCCCUGCGGGUUGUAAAGUACUUUCAGCGGGGAGGCGUUACUCGCAGAAGAAGCCCCGGCUAACUCCGUGCCAGCCGCCGCGGUAAUUC